rnacentral:rRNA from 1 species
UACGUAGGGUGCAAGCGUUAUCCGGAAUUAUUGGGCGUAAAGAGCUCGUAGGCGGUUUGUCGCGUCUGCUGUGAAAACUGGAGGCUCAACCUCCAGCCUGCAGUGGGUACGGGCAGACUAGAGUGCGGUAGGGGAGAUUGGAAUUCCUGGUGUAGCGGUGGAAUGCGCAGAUAUCAGGAGGAACACCAAUGGCGAAGGCAGUUCUCUGGGCCGUAACUGACGCUGAGGAGCGAAAGCAUGGGGAGCGAACAGG